rnacentral:rRNA from 1 species
CGAACGCUGGCGGCGACUUAACACAUGCAAGUCGAACGCGAAAGGGACUUCGGUCCUGAGUAAAGUGGCGCACGGGUGAGUAACGCGUAGAUAACCUGUCUUCAUGUCUGGAAUAAUACGCCGAAAGGGGUACUAAUACCGGAUAUCUUGCUUUUCAUAAGUUAUGCAAGCAAAGGUGGCCUCUGCAUAUGCUACUGCAUGAAGAGGGGUCUGCGUACCAUUAGCUAGUAGGUGGGGUAAUGGCCUACCUAGGCGACGAUGGUUAGCGGGUCUGAGAGGAUGAUCCGCCACACUGGCACUGGAACACGGGCCAGACUCCUACGGGAGGCAGCAGUGAGGAAUAUUGCGCAAUGGGGGAAACCCUGACGCAGCGACGCCGCGUGAGUGAGGAAAGGCCUUCGGGUCGUAAAGCUCUGUCAAGAGGAAAGAAGUGUACAAUGGCUAAUACCUGUUGUAUUUGACGGUACCUCUAAAGGAAGCACCGGCUAACUCCGUGCCAGCAGCAGC